AGCGAACGCUGGCGGCAGGCUUAACACAUGCAAGUCGAGCGGGCCCUCCGGGGUCAGCGGCUGACGGGUGAGUAACACGUGGGAACGUACCCUUAUGUUCGGAAUAAUGCUUGGACAUUGGCGCUAAUACCGGAUACGCUCUUUUGGGGCAAGGUUUGCUGCCGAAGGAUCGGCCCGCGUCUGUUUAGCCGUUUGGGGUGGGAAUGGCCUACCACGGCGACGCUCAGUAGCUGGGCUGAGAGGAACGUCAGCCACACUGGGACUGGGACACGGCCCGGACUCUUGGGGAAGGGAGGAAAGGGGAAUAUUGGACAAUGGGGUCAAGCCUGAACCAGCCAGGCCGCGUGAGUGAUGAAGGCCUUAAAGUUAUGAAGCUCUUUUGUCCGGGACGAUAAUGACGGUACCGAAAGAAUAAGCCCCGGCUAACUUCGUG
rnacentral:rRNA from 1 species